AUCCAACCGACGAGUCCCAAAUAGGACGACGAAACGUGUGUCCUGGAU
rnacentral:hammerhead_ribozyme from 1 species